GACGAACGCUGGCGGCGUGCUUAACACAUGCAAGUCGAACGGAAAGGCCCUGCUUUUGUUGGGUGCUCGAGUGGCGAACGGGUGAGUAACACGUGAGUAACCUGCCCUUGACUUUGGGAUAACUUCAGGAAACUGGGGCUAAUACCGCAGAGGAUCUCCUGCUGCAUGGUGGGCGUUGGAAAGUUUCGGCGGUUGGGGAUAGACUCGCGGCUUAUCAGCUUGUUGGUGGGGUAGUUGCUUACCAAGGCUUUGACGGGUAGCCGGCCUGAGAGGGUGACCGGCCACAUUGGGACUGAGAUACGGCCCAGACUCCUACGGGAGGCAGCAGUGGGGAAUAUUGCACAAUGGGCGGAAGCCUGAUGCAGCAACGCCGCGUGCGGGAUGACGGCCUUCGGGUUGUAAACCGCUUUCGACUGUGACGAAGCGUGAGUGACGGUAAUGGGUAAAGAAGCACCGGCUAACUACGUG
rnacentral:rRNA from 1 species